ACAAAAACUGGAUUUUCAUGUAACUAAGUCCAGCAUUAAAAAGUAAAAAAGCUGUAAUUAUUAUAAUCCUCAUAAUAAAUCCUCUUGGAUGGCAAUUAUCAGCUCUUCAGGGCAAGGAUUGCCUUGUGGCUUACUCAGUAGGUGCACUGUUUUUGCUUGACUUUUCUGGGUGCUAUCAAAACACACAUUCAGCUCACCAUAAGGAAGAAAAGAAAACAGUCUGAAGUGAAGAAAUGAGGAGGUAGCCUGGAGCGAUGCCAGCACUGUGCCAGUGCCAACCCUGAGUUGUUGACACAGAGCUCACAGUGCACAGAAGGCAACCAGGAAAUGUGCUGCUGGGUACACCUUUCUGUUCUGUUCCCCACCCGCCUGCUCUUGAGGGAAGAAGCAGUGACUGACUGCCUUCACCAGCUGAAUCAAAGGGAGAAAUAUGGCAAGCCACCAUGAGAAGGCUGCAAGCCAUGCAGGACAAUGACGGGGGAGUGCUCUGUGCCCAGUCUCUGUGGGCACAUGCUGACCCAUCCAGGAGGAUGAAAAAAUAUAAAAAAGUUCCCAAGAAUUUCUGCCUCCAGUACAUAAUGGUACAGCACAAAACAAAACAAACAAACAAAAAACAAAAAUCAGACACCAAAUUCCCAAUACAAAACCCCAGAAUGAUCAAAGAAUGACAAUGAUGGUGAAUUCUCUAGACUUACAAUGGGAUAGACAUGAAUGUGUUUCAAUGUAAAGUGCUUCAUUUUGGUGAUUAAACACCAAGCCAGAUUUUCA